rnacentral:rRNA from 1 species
AACGAACGCUGGCGGCAGGCUUAACACAUGCAAGUCGAACGCACCUUUCGGGGUGAGUGGCAGACGGGUGAGUAACGCGUGGGAAUCUACCCUUCUCUACGGGAUAGCUCCGGGAAACUGGAAUUAAUACCGUAUACGUCCUGAGGGAGAAAGAUUUAUCGGGGAAGGAUGAGCCCGCGUUGGAUUAGCUAGUUGGUGGGGUAAAGGCCUACCAAGGCGACGAUCCAUAGCUGGUCUAAGAGGAUGAUCAGCCACAUUGGGACUGAGACACGGCCCAAACCCCGGGGGGGGGAAGGGGGGGGGAAUAUGGGAAACGGGGCGGAGGCCGGACCCAGCCAGGCCGGGGGGGGGAUGAAGGCCCUAGGGUUGAAAAGCCUUUUCCGGGGGGCCGAUAAUGGCGGUACCCACAGAAGAAGCCCCGGCUAGCUUCGU